rnacentral:rRNA from 1 species
GAUGAACGCUAGCUACAGGCUUAACACAUGCAAGUCGAGGGGCAGCACAGUGUAGCAAUACAUGGGUGGCGACCGGCGCACGGGUGCGUAACGCGUAUCCAACCUUCCCGUUACUCAGGGAUAGCCUUCCGAAAGGGAGAUUAAUACCUGAUGGUAUUCAAAUUUCGCAUGUUAUUUGAAUUAAAGAUUUAUCGGUAACGGAUGGGGAUGCGUGACAUUAGGUAGAUGGCGGGGUAACGGCCCACCAUGCCUACGAUGUCUAGGGGUUCUGAGAGGAAGGUCCCCCACACUGGAACUGAGACACGGUCCAGACUCCUACGGGAGGCAGCAGUGAGGAAUAUUGGUCAAUGGUCGGAAGACUGAACCAGCCAAGUAGCGUGAAGGAUGAAGGUUCUAUGGAUUGUAAACUUCUUUUAUACGGGAAUAAACCUCCACGUGUGGAGCUUGUAUGUACCGUAUGAAUAAGCAUCGGCUAACUCCGUG